CCUACGGGAGGCAGCAGUGAGGAAUAUUGGUCAAUGGCCGGAAGGCUGAACCAGCCAUGCCGCGUGAAGGUCAGUGCCCUAUGGGCGUUAAACUUCUUUUGUGCGGGAGCAAUAAUGGUCACGUGUGGCCAGACGAGAGUACCGUACGAAUAAGCAUCGGCUAACUCCGUGCCAGCAGCCGCGGUAAUACGGGGGAUGCAAGCGUUAUCCGGAUUUAUUGGGUUUAAAGGGUGCGUAGGCUGGGAGGUAAGUCAGCGGGGAAAUGCCCCGGCUCAACGGGGUGAAGGGCCGUUGAUACGGCCUUGCUGGAAUGCGGAUGCCGUGGGAGGAAUGUGUGGUGUAGCGGUGAAAUGCAUAGAUAUCACACAGAACACCGAUUGCGAAGGCAUCUCACGAAUCCGCGAUUGACGCUGAUGCACGAAAGCGUGGGUAUCAAACAGGAUUAGAUACCCUGGUAGUC
rnacentral:rRNA from 1 species